CUCGUAGGUGGCCAACUAAGUCAGACGUGAAAUCCCUCGGCUUAACCGGGGAACUGCGUCUGAUACUGGAUGGCUUGAGUUUGGGAGAGGGACGCGGAAUUCCAGGUGUAGCGGUGAAAUGCGUAGAUAUCUGGAGGAACACCGGUGGCGAAGGCGGCGUCCUGGACCAACACUGACACUGAUGAGCGAAAGCCAGGGGGAGCAAAACG
rnacentral:rRNA from 1 species